GGCGACGUAGCCAAGUGGUAAGGCAUGGGUCUGCAAAAUCCUGAUCACCGGUUCGAAUCCGGUCGUCGCCU
rnacentral:tRNA from 1 species